UACGUAGGGUGCAAGCGUUGUUCGGAAUUACUGGCGUAAAGCGCACGUAGGCGGCUUUGUAAGUUAGAGGUGAAAGCCCGGGGCUCAACUCCGGAACUGCCUUUAAGACUGCAUCGCUUGAAUCCAGGAGAGGUGAGUGGAAUUCCGAGUGUAGAGGUGAAAUUCGUAGAUAUUCGGAAGAACACCAGUGGCGAAGGCGGCUCACUGGACUGGUAUUGACGCUCAUGCACGAAAGCGUGGGGAGCAAACAGG
rnacentral:rRNA from 1 species